rnacentral:tRNA from 1 species
GCCUGGGUGGCUCAGUCAGUUGAGCGACCGACUUCAGCUCAGGUCAUGAUCUCAUUGUGGGUUCAAGCCCCGCAUCGGGCU